UCUUCAUUUCUCGUGCUCUAUCACCGGUUUGACUGACGAGAGAGUGUGCAAAAUGAAGAGA
rnacentral:pre_miRNA from 1 species